rnacentral:rRNA from 1 species
CACGCCCUAAACGAUGUCAACUAGUUGUCGGGUCUUCAUUGACUUGGUAACGUAGCUAACGCGUGAAGUUGACCGCCUGGGGAGUNACGCGAAAAACCUUCCCUACCCUUGACAUGUAUGGAAGUCCGCUGAGAGGUGGACGUGCCCGAAAGGGAGCCAUAACACAGGUGC